rnacentral:rRNA from 1 species
UUACGGUCAAAUCACGCUGAAAACACCGGUUCUCGUUCGAUCACCGAAGUUAAGCAUCGUAGAGCCAGGUCAGUACUUAGAUGGGGGACUGCCUGGGAACACCUGGUACUGUAAG